UUUCGAAGCCAUAUCACCCUGCAGCUCUCAACUGGCUGCCCACUGAAGCUAAGCAGGGUUGAGCCUGGUCACUACCUGGAUGUGAGACCUCCUGGGAAGCUAUGGUUGCUGCUUGAA
rnacentral:rRNA from 1 species